UACAGAGGCCUCGAGCGUUAGGCGGAAUCACUGGGCUUAAAGCGUGUGUAGGCGGACUUCUAAGUACCUUGUGAAAUCCCACGGCUCACCCGUGGAACUGCUUGGUAUACUGGUUGUCUUGAGCCUUCUAGGGGUGAGUGGAACAAAUGGUGGAGCGGUGAAAUGCGUAGAUAUCAUUUGGAACGCCAAUGGUGAAAACAACUCGCUGGGGAAGUGCUGACGCUGAGACACGAAAGCCAGGGGAGCGAACGGG
rnacentral:rRNA from 1 species